rnacentral:rRNA from 1 species
UACGUAGGGGCAAGCGUUGUCCGGAUUUAUUGGGCGUAAAGAGCGUGUAGGCGGCCGCACAGGUCCGUUGUGAAAACUGGAGGCUUAACCUUCAGACGUCGAUGGAAACCGUGCGGCUAGAGUCCGGAAGAGGAGAAUGGAAUUCCUGGUGUAGCGGUGAAAUGACGCAGAUAUCAGGAAGAACACCCGUGGCUAAGGCGGUUCUCUAGUACGGUACUGACGCUGAGACGCGAAAGCGUGGGGAGCGAACAGG